rnacentral:rRNA from 1 species
AGAAUCAACGCUGGCGGCGUGCCUAACACAUGCAAGUCGAACGAGAAAGUGGAGCAAUCCAUGAGUAAAGUGGCGCACGGGUGAGUAACACGUGACUAACCUACCCUUGAGUGGGGGAUAACCUCGGGAAACCGGGGCUAAUACCGCAUAAUAUCGAGAGAUCAAAGGAGCAAUUCGCUUAAGGAGGGGGUCGCGGCUGAUUAGCUAGUUGGUAGGGUAAUGGCCUACCAAGGCUAUGAUC